GGUUUACCUGUGUGACUGCGUACCUUUUGUAUAAUGGGUCAGCGACUUAUAUUCUGUAGCAAGGUUAACCGAAUAGGGGAGCCGGAGGGAAACCGAGUCUUAAUUGGGCGUUAAGUUGCAGGGUAUAGACCCGAAACCCGGUGAUCUAGCCAUGGGCAGGUUGAAGGUUGGGUAACACUAACUGGAGGACCGAACCGACUAAUGUUGAAAAAUUAGCGGAUGACCUGUGGCUGGGGGUGAAAGGCCAAUCAAACCGGGAGAUAGCUGGUUCUCCCCGAAAGCUAUUUAGGUAGCGCCUCGUGAAUUCAUCUCCGGGGGUAGAGCACUGUUUCGGCUAGGGGGCCAUCCCGGCUUACCAACCCGAUGCAAACUGCGAAUACCGGAGAAUGUUAUCACGGGAGACACACGGCGGGUGCUAACGUCCGUCGUGAAGAGGGAAACAACCCAGACCGCCAGCUAAGGUCCCAAAGUCAUGGUUAAGUGGGAAACGAUGUGGGAAGGCCCAGACAGCCAGGAUGUUGGCUUAGAAGCAGCCAUCAUUUAAAGAAAGCGUAAUAGCUCACUGGUCGAGUCGGCCUGCGCGGAAGAUGUAACGGGGCUAAACCAUGCACCGAAGCUGCGGCAGCGACGCUUAUGCGUUGUUGGGUAGGGGAGCGUUCUGUAAGCCUGCGAAGGUGGCCUGUGAGGGUUGCUGGAGGUAUCAGAAGUGCGAAUGCUGACAUAAGUAACGAUAAAGCGGGUGAAAAGCCCGCUCGCCGGAAGACCAAGGGUUCCUGUCCAACGUUAAUCGGGGCAGGGUGAGUCGACCCCUAAGGCGAGGCCGAAAGGCGUAGUCGAUGGGAAACGGGUUAAUAUUCCCGUACUUGGUGUUACUGCGAAGGGGGGACGGAGAAGGCUAUGUUGGCCGGGCGACGGUUGUCCCGGUUUAAGCGUGUAGGUGUGUGUUCCAGGUAAAUCCGGUUCACUUUAACACUGAGGCGUGACGACGAGGCACUACGGUGCUGAAGCAACAAAUGCCCUGCUUCCAGGAAAAGCCUCUAAGCAUCAGGUAACAUCAAAUCGUACCCCAAACCGACACAGGUGGUCAGGUAGAGAAUACCAAGGCGCUUGAGAGAACUCGGGUGAAGGAACUAGGCAAAAUGGUGCCGUAACUUCGGGAGAAGGCACGCUGACACGUAGGUGAAGUGAUUUACUCAUGGAGCUGAAGUCAGUCGAAGAUACCAGCUGGCUGCAACUGUUUAUUAAAAACACAGCACUGUGCAAACACGAAAGUGGACGUAUACGGUGUGACGCCUGCCCGGUGCCGGAAGGUUAAUUGAUGGGGUCAGCGCAAGCGAAGCUCCUGAUCGAAGCCCCGGUAAACGGCGGCCGUAACUAUAACGGUCCUAAGGUAGCGAAAUUCCUUGUCGGGUAAGUUCCGACCUGCACGAAUGGCGUAAUGAUGGCCAGGCUGUCUCCACCCGAGACUCAGUGAAAUUGAACUCGCUGUGAAGAUGCAGUGUACCCGCGGCAAGACGGAAAGACCCCGUGAACCUUUACUAUAGCUUGACACUGAACAUUGAGCCUUGAUGUGUAGGAUAGGUGGGAGGCUUUGAAGUGUGGACGCCAGUCUGCAUGGAGCCGACCUUGAAAUACCACCCUUUAAUGUUUGAUGUUCUAACGUGGACCCGUUACCCGGGUUGCGGACAGUGUCUGGUGGGUAGUUUGACUGGGGCGGUCUCCUCCUAAAGAGUAACGGAGGAGCACGAAGGUUGGCUAAUCCUGGUCGGACAUCAGGAGGUUAGUGCAAUGGCAUAAGCCAGCUUGACUGCGAGCGUGACGGCGCGAGCAGGUGCGAAAGCAGGUCAUAGUGAUCCGGUGGUUCUGAAUGGAAGGGCCAUCGCUCAACGGAUAAAAGGUACUCCGGGGAUAACAGGCUGAUACCGCCCAAGAGUUCAUAUCGACGGCGGUGUUUGGCACCUCGAUGUCGGCUCAUCACAUCCUGGGGCUGAAGUAGGUCCCAAGGGUAUGGCUGUUCGCCAUUUAAAGUGGUACGCGAGCUGGGUUUAGAACGUCGUGAGACAGUUCGGUCCCUAUCUGCCGUGGGCGCUGGAGAACUGAGGGGGGCUGCUCCUAGUACGAGAGGACCGGAGUGGACGCAUCACUGGUGUUCGGGUUGUCAUGCCAAUGGCACUGCCCGGUAGCUAAAUGCGGAAGAGAUAAGUGCUGAAAGCAUCUAAGCACGAAACUUGCCCCGAGAUGAGUUCUCCCUGAGACUUAAAGUCUCCUGAAGGAACGUUGAAGACGACGACGUUGAUAGGCCGGGUGUGUAAGCGCAGCGAUGCGUUGAGCUAACCGGUACUAAUGAACCGUGAGGCUUAACCUUA
rnacentral:rRNA from 1 species